UACGUAGGGUGCAAGCGUUAAUCGGAAUUACUGGCGUAAGCGUGCGCAGGCGGUUAUGUAAGACAGAUGUGAAAUGCCCGGGCUUAACCUGGGAACUGCAUUUGUGACUGCAUGGCUAGAGUUUGGCAGAGGGGGGUAGAAUUCCACGUGUAGCAGUGAAAUGCGUAGAUAUGUGGAGAAACACCGAUGGCGAAGGCAGCCCCCUGGGUCAAGACUGACGCUCAUGCACGAAAGCGUGGGGAGCA
rnacentral:rRNA from 1 species